UGGGGGAAUUUUGGCUUCUCUUCAUAUCAUCAUCAGCCUUCCGACCGGAUAGAUGGAUAAGAUCGCAGUGUCCCUGUUUUUGCUUCUAACUUUAUCGACUAUCGUUUGCAAUGGAUGGCCAUCGUGGCGUCGCCAUCGCAGUCCGGAAAAAAAGACAACAACAACUCAUCAACAUCCGUCACUUUUCCGUGUGAUCGGUCUUUACGCCAAUCCGUUCGGAUGGAUCGGAACGCCAACUUUGCCCAAACGGAGCAAAAACAACAGGAAGUCGGACCGCGUCGGUCAUCAGUGGGUUAUCGAAAUUGACGAAUCGGAUCACUGGUGGGUAACCGUCUACGAAAACGGAGCCCAAAUUCCCGGACCCGGAAGAAAAGCGAUUAUGAAAUUAUUCUGAAAAGUUUACGAUUCUUUUCUUUUUUUUGUUAUUUCUUUCCUUAAUUAAUUUCCCACGCGAUUUUGUAUUUGUUAUCGAAUAACCCCCCCACUCAAAGAUAUUUAAAAAAAAACAAUUAUUUAAAAUAAUUUUUUUUCGGGUUAUUUUUGAUUGAAUUUAAUAAGUCCAGUGCGAUGUUUUUGUAACUAAAUCAUCGAAGA